GACGAACGCUGGCGGCGUGCUUAACACAUGCGAGUCGAACGAUGAACCGGUUUCGGCCGGGGAUUAGUGGCGAACGGGCGAGUAACACGUGGGCAAUCUGCCCUGCACUCUGGGAUAAGCCCGGGAAACUGGGUCUAAUACCGGAUACGACACUCCGAGGCAUCUUGGGGUGUGGAAAGUUCCGGCGGUGCAGGAUGAGCCCGCGGCCUAUCAGCUUGUUGGUGGGGUAAUGGCCUACCAAGGCGACGACGGGUAGCCGGCCUGAGAGGGUGACCGGCCACACUGGGACUGAGACACGGCCCAGACUCCUACGGGAGGCAGCAGUGGGGAAUAUUGCACAAUGGGCGAAAGCCUGAUGCAGCGACGCCGCGUGAGGGAUGACGGCCUUCGGGUUGUAAACCUCUUUCAGCAGGGAAGAAGCGAAAGUGACGGUACCUGCAGAAGAAGCACCGGCUAACUACGUG
rnacentral:rRNA from 1 species